rnacentral:rRNA from 1 species
CAGGUGGUCAGGUAGAGAAUACCAAGGCGCUUGAGAGAACUCGGGUGAAGGAACUAGGCAAAAUGGUGCCGUAACUUCGGGAGAAGGCACGCUGAUAUGUAGGUGAAGUCCCUCGCGGAUGGAGCUGAAAUCAGUCGAAGAUACCAGCUGGCUGCAACUGUUUAUUAAAAACACAGCACUGUGCAAACACGAAAGUGGACGUAUACGGUGUGACGCCUGCCCGGUGCCGGAAGGUUAAUUGAUGGGGUUAGCGGUAACGCGAAGCUCUUGAUCGAAGCCCCGGUAAACGGCGGCCGUAACUAUAACGGUCCUAAGGUAGCGAAAUUCCUUGUCGGGUAAGUUCCGACCUGCACGAAUGGCGUAAUGAUGGCCAGGCUGUCUCCACCCGAGACUCAGUGAAAUUGAACUCGCUGUGAAGAUGCAGUGUACCCGCGGCAAGACGGAAAGACCCCGUGAACCUUUACUAUAGCUUGACACUGAACAUUGAGCCUUGAUGUGUAGGAUAGGUGGGAGGCUUUGAAGUGUGGACGCCAGUCUGCAUGGAGCCGGCCUUGAAAUACCACCCUUUAAUGUUUGAUGUUCUAACGUUGGCCCCUGAUCGGGGUUGCGGACAGUGUCUGGUGGGUAGUUUGACUGGGGCGGUCUCCUCCUAAAGAGUAACGGAGGAGCACGAAGGUUGGCUAAUCCUGGUCGGACAUCAGGAGGUUAGUGCAAUGGCAUAAGCCAGCUUGACUGCGAGCGUGACGGCGCGAGCAGGUGCGAAAGCAGGUCAUAGUGAUCCGGUGGUUCUGAAUGGAAGGGCCAUCGCUCAACGGAUAAAAGGUACUCCGGGGAUAACAGGCUGAUACCGCCCAAGAGUUCAUAUCGACGGCGGUGUUUGGCACCUCGAUGUCGGCUCAUCACAUCCUGGGGCUGAAGUAGGUCCCAAGGGUAUGGCUGUUCGCCAUUUAAAGUGGUACGCGAGCUGGGUUUAGAACGUCGUGAGACAGUUCGGUCCCUAUCUGCCGUGGGCGCUGGAGAACUGAGGGGGGCUGCUCCUAGUACGAGAGGACCGGAGUGGACGCAUCACUGGUGUUCGGGUUGUCAUGCCAAUGGCACUGCCCGGUAGCUAAAUGCGGAAGAGAUAAGUGCUGAAAGCAUCUAAGCACGAAACUUGCCCCGAGAUGAGUUCUCCCUGACUCCUUGAGGGUCCUGAAGGAACGUUGAAGACGACGACGUUGAUAGGCCGGGUGUGUAAGCGCAGCGAUGCGUUGAGCUAACCGGUACUAAUGAACCGUGAGGCUUAACCUU